rnacentral:rRNA from 1 species
GACGAACGCUGGCGGCGUGCUUAACACAUGCAAGUGGAGCGACGAACCCGAGCUUGCUCGGGGGCAAAGCCGCGAACGGGUGAGUAACACGUGGUAAUCUGCCCUGAUGAUUGGGACAACCCCGGGAAACCGGGGCUAAUACCAAAUGUGCUCUUUCCACAUCAGUGGAUCGAGGAAAGGAGGCUUCGGCUUCCGCAUCGGGAUGAGCCCGCGGCCCAUUAGCUUGUUGGUGGGGUAAUGGCCUACCAAGGCUCCGAUGGGUAGCUGGUCUGAGAGGACGAUCAGCCACACUGGGACUGAGACACGGCCCAGACUCCUACGGGAGGCAGCAGUGGGGAAUCUUGCGCAAUGCGCGAAAGCGUGACGCAGCAACGCCGCGUGAGGGAAGACGGCCUUCGGGUUGUAAACCUCUUUCAGUUGGGACGAAGCCUCUGCGGUUAAUACCCGUAUGAGGUGACGGUACCUUCAGAAGAAGCCCCGGCUAACUACGUGCCAGCAGCCGCAGUAAGAC